UGCAGCCAGGGCCAGCCAGGCCUGAGGGCCCCUCUCAGCUGGGGCUCCUCUCCAGGCUGAGCAGCCCCAGCUCCCGCAGCCUUUCCUGGCCACUGAGAUGCUCCAGGCCCUUCAGGAUUGUUGUCACCAUCAAUAUGCUCAUGAGCAUCCCAAAUAAGACCAACACGUUCCAGGCCUUUCCCAUUCCACACGUGCUGGGCUUGGCCCACCACCCACCUCAGCAACACCCUGGAGCCCCAUUUGCAUGGCCAGAACUGGCCUGCUCAAACACAGCUUGAUUUGCCUAAGAUAGAGCUUAAAAAACAGUUACAAAAGUGGUUCCCAACAUAUUCUCCCUGUUUACUGACUAUUCUGCUUUUUCCACCUAAAGUAAAAGGUAUCAGCUUUGAGAAAUGAUAGUAGCAGUGAUGCCAGGCGGUGACCUGAGCUUCCCUCUUCCCUAAGGCUCACCAUGACUUGAAGCUUGAGGAUGUCCACAGGGGUGCCCAUGAGGGCCCUACCAGACUACAAGAGUGAACAAUUUUAAUAAUUUAAUGAUUCUCCAUGAGAAGUGAACCAUGUCAGGCUGGAUCAUCCCAAAAGAGGGAUCUUGAAGCCCAGCGUCAUGUGGAAAAACAAAGGAGGAAAACCUGGGGACAAGCAUUGACCACUUCAACACCAGGCUGACAGCAAGGAAAAUUCGCUUAUUUGUGAUGCAUUCCAUCUCACAUCCUGUAAACCUGGUGCAAAACUGCAUUCCCAGGUGGAAAGGAGCACCACAACAUCCUCCCUGGCAACUCUUCCUCCCCCUUUAAUUUCCUACGCAAAAAUUCCAAGCUUCCCUUUCUCUGACAUUUGAUUUGCCUGUAACACUACAACUUUGAAACAGCAAAUCUCAUCAGCUCCAAAAUCCACAGGAUUGGGACCUACAAUGGCAUCAAUUGCUUCAGCUUUGUCACAGUUCUGAAUGUCUAAGUCAUUCCCCCCAAAAGUUUUUAGCCUGUCUUGCACUGCCAUGACAUCUUCUCCCAUCUGCUGGGAUUCAAUACUCUCCAUUUUAUUUGCUGUGCCAACAGGAGUUGAAUUUCUACUCCAAAUAAAUUCUCUAUUUGACACAAAACUCAUAAAAAGUCAUGGAGAAGGUUUAGAUCAGGAAUGGGUAGUUGAGAAUGGAGAAAUCCCAGUGGAAAUGAGAGUACAAAGGGAGAAGGAUGGGGUGAAGGACACAGGAACCUCACAAGCCAAGUCUCCGGUGUGGCUGGAGAGGAAGGACCCAGGGACGCAAAGUAGAGGAGAGCCAGCUGAGAGCAAAAUGAAUCUGUAAUUAAUUUAUGGCCUUGAAUUAAUGCUGAUGGAUCAGCUGUGACAAGAAUUAGAGCUGGAGAUGCAAAGUGAGAUGCAUCCGGAUGCAGGGAGAACAUGCCACAGCAGAAGUGGGUGAAUCAUCCAGUGAGACACAGGCCAAGAGGAGGUGGAAGCAGGGUAGGACUGGAAAGCAAACUUCUAGAGAAUACUAAGCUGCCAGUGUGAGAAAAGGAGUGGGACAUUGGAAGGGAGUGUUCAAAGUGGAAGAAAAUGAGACAUACAGAGUUUAGGAGACAAAA